GAUGAACGCUGGCGGCGUGCCUAAUACAUGCAAGUCGAACGCGCAGCGAAAGGUGCUUGCACCUUUCAAGCGAGUGGCGAACGGGUGAGUAACACGUGGAUAACCUGCCUCAAGGCUGGGGAUAACAUUUGGAAACAGAUGCUAAUACCGAAUAAAACUUAGUAUCGCAUGAUACAAAGUUAAAAGGCGCUACGGCGUCACCUAGAGAUGGAUCCGCGGUGCAUUAGUUAGUUGGUGGGGUAAAGGCUUACCAAGACGAUGAUGCAUAGCCGAGUUGAGAGACUGAUCGGCCACAUUGAGACAGAGACACGGCACAAACUCUUACGGGAGGCUGCAGUAGGGAAUCUUCCACAAUGGGCGCAAGCCUGAUGGAGCAACGCCGCGUGUGUGAUGAAGGCUUUCGGGUCGUAAAGCACUGUUGUAUGGGAAGAAAUGCUAAAAUAGGGAAUGAUUUUAGUUUGACGGUACCAUACCAGAAAGGGACGGCUAAAUACGUGCCAGCCGCCGCGGUAA
rnacentral:rRNA from 1 species